rnacentral:rRNA from 1 species
UACAGAGGUCUCAAGCGUUGUUCGGAUUCAUUGGGCGUAAAGGGUGCGUAGGUGGUGCUGUAAGUCAGGUGUGAAAUCCCGGGGCUCAACCCCGGAACUGCACUUGAUACUGCAGUGCUCGAGGACUGGAGAGGAGAUCGGAAUUCAUGGUGUAGCAGUGAAAUGCGUAGAUAUCAUGAGGAAGACCAGUGGCGAAGGCGGAUCUCUGGACAGUUCCUGACACUGAGGCACGAAGGCCAGGGGAGCGAACGGG